rnacentral:rRNA from 1 species
AUUGAACGCUGGCGGCAUGCCUUACACAUGCAAGUCGAACGGUAACAGGUCUUCGGAUGCUGACGAGUGGCGAACGGGUGAGUAAUACAUCGGAACGUGCCCGAUCGUGGGGGGAUAACGCAGCGAAAGCUGUGCUAAUACCGCAUACGAUCUACGGAUGAAAGCGGGGGACUCGCAAGGGCCUCGCGCGGACGGAGCGGCCGAUGGCAGAUUAGGUAGUUGGUGGGAUAAAAGCUUACCAAGCCGACGAUCUGUAGCUGGUCUGAGAGGACGACCAGCCACACUGGGACUGAGACACGGCCCAGACUCCUACGGGAGGCAGCAGUGGGGAAUUUUGGACAAUGGGCGCAAGCCUGAUCCAGCCAUGCCGCGUGCAGGAUGAAGGCCUUCGGGUUGUAACUGCUUUGUACGGUAACGAAAAAGACUACUCUCUAAUACAGGGGUGAAUGACGGUACCGUAAGAAUAAG